AGAGCCUCAGGUCAGUGCGGGGCUACCCGCUGAAUUUAAGCAUAUCAAUAAGGGGGAAAAGAAACUAAUAGAUUCCCUUAGUAACGGGCGAGCGAACUGGGAUAAGCGCACCAUGAGAAUCGGUUCGCCUUACAGCGUUCGAAUUGUAGUCUAGAGAAGCGUCCUCAGCGGUGGGACCAGGCCCAAGUCCCUGGAAGGGGCGCCGGAGAGGGUGGAGAGCCCCGUUGUGGCUCGGACCCUGUCGCACCACGAGGCGCUGUCGGCGAUUCGGGUUGUUUUGGGAAGCAACCCCAUCGGGCGGUAAUUCCUGUCCAAGCUAAAUAUUGGCGAGAGACGAUAGCGACAAUGAUAGUACUCGCGAGGAAGAAAGAUGGAAAAGGACUAUAUGAAAGAGAGUCAAAGAGUGCUUGAAAUUGUCGGUAGGGAAGCAGCGGAUGGGGAGCCGCGGCCGAUGUCCCUCUCGAUCUGUCGGAUUGGUAACGGUUGUGCUCGGUCCGCAAUUCGACUCGGGACAUCGACUUGACGCGGAUUGUGAUGGUGGCCCAAGCCUGCGGCGUUGUUGAACAUGCUCGCGGAGCACGGAGUCAUCAUCACGAUUGUGGACGGCAGCACGCGCCGUUUCGGCGUGCUUGGCACUGCGCGCUCCACUUGGUCGUCAGCCUGUGGCCUCUCCAUUCGACCCGUCUUCAAACAAGGACCUAAGGAGUAGGACAUGUGUGCGAUGUCAAGCAGGCGCGAUAAACCCGUAAGGCGCCAAGGCAAGCUGAUUGGUGGAUCCUCUUGUGGGUUGCACCGCCGAGCCGACCCGAUCUUCUGUGAAGGGUUCGAGUGAGAGCAUACUGUCCGGGACCGAAAGAUGGUGACUAUGCUGAGCGGGCGAAGCAGAAGGACUCAAAGUGGAGGUUCGCAGCGAUACUGACGUGCAAAUCGUUCGUCGACUAAGGGGCGAAAGACUAAUCGACCGUCUAGUAGCUGGUUCCUUCCGAAGUUUCCCUCAUGAUAGGCUGGACCGAGGGCGAGUUCUAUCGGGUAAGAUAAGCAAUGAUUAGAGGCAUCGGGGGCGCAACGCCCUCGACCUAUCUCAACUUUAAAUAGGUAGGACGGUGUGGGCUGCUUUGUUGAGCCAUGCCUUGGAAUCGAGAGCUCAAGUGGCCAUUUUGGUAAGGCAGAACGGGAUGCGGAUGAACCGGAAGCGGGUUACGUGCCCAACUGCGCGCUAACCUAGACCAACAAAGGGUGUUGGUCGACUUAAGAAGCAGGACGGUGGGGAAAGCAUCCGUCUAAGAAGUGGUGUCAAGAAUCAACUAGCUCCGAAAUGGAUGGCCGCUAAGCGCGCGACCUAUACCCUGCCGUUGGGGCAAGGGCCAGGCCCCGAUGUGGUAGGAAGGGUUGCGGCGGUCGUGCAAAAGUCGGGGCGUGAGCCUGGGCGGGAGCGGUAGUUCGGUGCAGAUCUUGGUGUAGUAGCAAAUAUUCAAAUGAGAACUUUUGAAGGCGAAGAAGGGGAAAAGGGUUCCAUGUGAACGGCACUUGCACAUGGUAGUGCGAUCCUAAGGGAUGGGGGAAGCCCGUUAAUAGCGCUCUAAAGGCGUACACCGAAAAGGGAAUCAGGUUUAAAAUUCCUGAACCGGGACGUGGAUGGCUGAACGGCAACGUUAGGGAGUCCGGAAGACAUUGGCGGGCCCAGAAAGAGUUUAUCUUUUCUGUUUAACAGCAAUGCACUCUGGAAACGGUCAGUUCGGAGGUAGGGGUUCCCAGCGGCUGGAAGAGCACCGCAGUCGCGUGGUGUCCAGUGCGCCCCUGGCGGCCCUUGAAUCCGGAGGACCGAGUGCUUCCAUGCCCGUCGUACUCAUAACCGCAUCAGGUCCUCCAAGGUGAACAGCCUCUGGUCGAUGGAACAAUGUAGGCAAGGGAAGUCGGCAAAAUGGACCGUACCUCCGGGAAACAAGAUUGGCUUCUGAGGGCUGGGCAACGGGGUCCCCAGUUCGAACACCGUCGGCUGUUGGUGGAUUGCUUGAGCUGGCUUCCCUGCGCGAGAGCGGGUGCCUCGGCGUGCCGGUCGGGGACUGAUUGGGAACGGGCCAUUCGGGCCUCUGCCCCGGGCAUCGAACAAUCAAUCAGACUGGUAAUGGACCAAGGGGAAUCCGACUUGUUUAAAUUAAAACAAAGCAUUGCGAUGGUCCCUUGCGGAUGUUGACGUAAUGUGAUUUCUUGCCCAGUGCUCUGAAGUCAAAGUGAAGAAAUUCAACCAAGCGCGGAGGUAAACGGCGGGAGUAACUAUGACUCUCUUAGGUAGCCAAAUGCCUCGUCAUCUAAUUAAAGUGACGCGCAUUGAAUGGAUUAACGAGAUUCCCACUGUCCCCUGUCUACAUCUCAGCGAACCACACCAAGGGAAUGGGCUUGGCGGAUCAGCGGGGAAAGAAGACCCUGUUGAGCUUGACUCUAGUCCGACUUUGUGAAAUGACUUGAGAGGUGUAGGAUAAGUGGGAGCUGGAAACAGCAAAAGUGAAAUACCACUACUU
rnacentral:rRNA from 1 species